CUGGUUGAUCCUGCCAGUAGUGAUAUGCUUGUUUCAAAGAUUAAGCCAUGCAUGUCUAAGUAUAAGCGAACUUAUACAGUGAAACUGCGGAUGGCUCAUUAAAACAGUUUGAAUUUAUUUGAUGAAUGUAUGAGAAUACUACUUGGAUAACCGUAGUAAUUCUAGAGCUAAUACAUGCAACGACGCCCGACCGUUUCACUACGGAAGGGCUGUAUUUAUUGGAUACCAAAACCAUCCUUCCCUCGGGAAGUUUUGUUUGAUGAUUCACAAUAACUGAUCGGAUCGCCACUGUGGUGGCGACAGGUCAUUCAACAUUCUGCCCUAUCAGCUUUCGAUGGUUGCGUAGUGGACAACCAUGGCCAUAACGGGUAACGGAGAAUCAGGGUUCGAUUCCGGAGAAGGAGCUUGAGAAUUGGCUACUACAUCUAAGGAAGGCAGCAGGCGCGCAAAUUACCCAAUCCCGAUUCGGGGAGGUAGUGACAAAAAAUAACAAUACCGGGCCUUUUUGGGCUUGGUAAUUGGAAUGAGGGAGAGUUAAACGGACCAUCGAGUAUCCAUUGGAGGGCAAGUCUGGUGCCAGCAGCUGCGGUAAUAUCAGCUCCAAUAGCGUAUAUUAAAGUUGUUGCAGUUAAAAAGCUCGUAGUUGGACUUGUGUGCGCUGUCCGCGGGUGGCCUGCGCCCAAAAGGGCGUUUCGGUUCGGCCCCGGUGGCGCCUUGAAAUCUGCAGCUGGGGGGACGUUGGCCUUAACUGGUCGGCGACCGCACGCCGGCUGCUCGGUUACUGUGAGAAAAUUAGAGUGUUCAAGGCAGGCAUUGGGUGCAAUUGAAUACAUUAGCAUGGAAUAAUAAAAUAUGGCUCCUGCCGUAUUUUGUUGGUUUUGACUGGUGGGAGUAAUGAUUGAUAGGGACGGUUGGGGGUGCUAGUAUUGAGCGGCCAGAGGUGAAAUUCAUGGAUUCGCUCAAGACUAACUUAUGCGAAAGCAUUCACCAAGGACGUCCUCUUUAAUCAAGAACGAAAGUUGGGGGAUCGAAGACGAUCAGAUACCGUCGUAGUCUCAACCAUAAACUAUGUCGACUUGGGAUCGGCGGUAGUUUUUUCAUUAAGACACUGUCGGGACCACGGGAGAAAUCAAAGUGUCUGGACUCUGGGGGAAGUAUGGUCGCAAGGCUGAAACUUGAAGGAAUUGACGGAAGGGCACCACCAGGAGUGGAGCCUGCGGCUUAAUUUGACCCAACACGGGGAAACUUACCAGGUCCAGAGAUAUAGAGGAUUGACAGGUUGAAGCUCUUUCUUGAUCACUUCGGUGGUGGUGCAUGGCCGUUCUUAGUUGGUGGAGUGACUUGUCUGGUUAAUUCCGUUAACGAACGAGACCUCAGCCUGCUAG
rnacentral:rRNA from 1 species